GACGUAGGGCGCGAGCGUUGUCCGGAUUUAUUGGGCGUAAAGAGCUCGUAGGCGGCUUGUCGCGUCGUUUCGUGAAAACCCCGGGGGCUCAACCCCCGGGCUUGCGGUCGAUACGGGCAGGCUGGAGUUCGGUAGGGGAGACUGGAAUUCCUGGUGUAGCGGUGAAAUGCGCAGAUAUCGGGAGGAACACCGGUGGCGAAGGCGGGUCUCUGGGCCGAUACUGACGCUGAGGAGCGAAAGCGUGGGGAGCGAACAGG
rnacentral:rRNA from 1 species